rnacentral:rRNA from 1 species
GCUUGUCUCAAAGAUUAAGCCAUGCAUGUCUAAGUAUAAAUGCUAUACAAUGAAACUGCGAAUGGCUCAUUAAAACAGUUAUAGUUUAUUUGGUAAUAAAAUUACAUGGAUAACCGUGGUAAUUCUAGAGCUAAUACAUGCGUAAAAUCCCGACUCUCGCGGGGAGGGAUGUAUUUAUUAGUUAAAAAGCCAAUGCGGGUUCUGCCCGGUUUUGUGGUGAAUCAUAGUAACUGUUCGAAUCGCAUGGCUUCACGCCGGCGAUAGUUCAUUCAAAUUUCUGCCCUAUCAGCUUUCGACGGUAGUGUAGUGGACUACCGUGGCGUUAACGGGUAACGGAGAAUUAGGGUUCGGUUCCGGAGAGGGAGCCUGAGAAACGGCUACCACAUCCAAGGAAGGCAGCAGG